rnacentral:rRNA from 1 species
AUGGCUCAGACUUUCGCUGGCGGCAGGCCUAACACAUGCAAGUCGAACGGUAACAGGAAGCAGCUUGCUGCUUUGCUGACGAGUGGCGGACGGGUGAGUAAUGUCUGGGAAACUGCCUGAUGGAGGGGGAUAACUACUGGAAACGGUAGCUAAUACCGCAUAACGUCGCAAGACCAAAGAGGGGGACCUUAGGGCCUCUUGCCAUCGGAUGUGCCCAGAUGGGAUUAGCUAGUAGGUGGGGUAACGGCUCACCUAGGCGACGAUCCCUAGCUGGUCUGAGAGGAUGACCAGCCACACUGGAACUGAGACACGGUCCAGACUCCUACGGGAGGCAGCAGUGGGGAAUAUUGCACAAUGGGCGCAAGCCUGAUGCAGCCAUGCCGCGUGUAUGAAGAAGGCCUUCGGGUUGUAAAGUACUUUCAGCGGGGAGGAAGGGAGUAAAGUUAAUACCUUUGCUCAUUGACGUUACCCGCAGAAGAAGCACCGGCUAACUCCGUGCCAGCAGCCGCGGUAAUACGGAGGGUGCAAGCGUUAAUCGGAAUUACUGGGCGUAAAGCGCACGCAGGCGGUUUGUUAAGUCAGAUGUGAAAUCCCCGGGCUCAACCUGGGAACUGCAUCUGAUACUGGCAAGCUUGAGUCUCGUAGAGGGGGGUAGAAUUCCAGGUGUAGCGGUGAAAUGCGUAGAGAUCUGGAGGAAUACCGGUGGCGAAGGCGGCCCCCUGGACGAAGACUGACGCUCAGGUGCGAAAGCGUGGGGAGCAAACAGGAUUAGAUACCCUGGUAGUCCACGCCGUAAACGAUGUCGACUUUGAGGUUGUGCCCUUGAGGCGUGGCUUCCGGAGCUAACGCGUUAAGUCGACCGCCUGGGGAGUACGGCCGCAAGGUUAAAACUCAAAUGAAUUGACGGGGGCCCGCACAAGCGGUGGAGCAUGUGGUUUAAUUCGAUGCAACGCGAAGAACCUUACCUGGUCUUGACAUCCACGGAAGUUUUCAGAGAUGAGAAUGUGCCUUCGGGAACCGUGAGACAGGUGCUGCAUGGCUGUCGUCAGCUCGUGUUGUGAAAUGUUGGGUUAAGUCCCGCAACGAGCGCAACCCUUAUCCUUUGUUGCCAGCGGUCCGGCCGGGAACUCAAAGGAGACUGCCAGUGAUAAACUGGAGGAAGGUGGGGAUGACGUCAAGUCAUCAUGGCCCUUACGACCAGGGCUACACACGUGCUACAAUGGCGCAUACAAAGAGAAGCGACCUCGCGAGAGCAAGCGGACCUCAUAAAGUGCGUCGUAGUCCGGAUUGGAGUCUGCAACUCGACUCCAUGAAGUCGGAAUCGCUAGUAAUCGUGGAUCAGAAUGCCACGGUGAAUACGUUCCCGGGCCUUGUACACACCGCCCGUCACACCAUGGGAGUGGGUUGCAAAAGAAGUAGGUAGCUUAACCUUCGGGAGGGCGCUUACCACUUUGUGAUUCAUGACUGGGGUGAAGUCGUAACAAGGUAGCC